UAAAGAAUUUAAACACCAAGAAAAUGCAAAAAUCAAAUAUUACAUCUAAGUAGACACGUGUUGGAAUGUCAUAUAGGUUCAGAGUUUCAUUUUGUACAUAUAGCGAGAUUUAAUCCAUUAUGCAUCCUUACAAGUACAACAAUCUAAAAUAGAAAUUAACAAUAUUACAUUUAUACUAUAAUUAAUUGCACUACAGAGACACGUAGUGAUUAUAAGCAAUUGGCCAGCCAAUUGCACUCAUAAAUGCAGGUUGACCAUCUCAAGGAACAA
rnacentral:misc_RNA from 1 species